rnacentral:misc_RNA from 1 species
ACAAAUUCUCCUUAGCAGUCCUCUCGCCCUGAAAAAAAACGAAAGAAACUCUUACAAAUCCAACGGUCAACGCUCAGCAUAAGCUCGCUCAGUGGGAUCUAAAAAGAUGAAUAAGCUCUUUACUUUGCCAUUAACAGUCUUUUUAUCUCUGGUUCUAUUAGUGGGAGAGGCGAAAACUAUUGACCCUUACGAGGUUCUUGGGGUUGAGAAGAACGCAAGUCAACGUGAAAUACAGAAAGCCUUCCACCAGUACAUUCUGUCUUUCUCCCUUCACUUUCUGUUCUUGUUUCAAAAACUCUGGCAAUGUUGUUCUUUGAACUCUUGAUUUUGUCCCUUUCUACUCUAGAUGCAUUUAUUGACUAUGCUUUUGAAUGUAUCAGAGUCAGAGCAGUUAUACUUGAUUGUUUGCUUUCCUUGUAUAUUUGCUUGAAGAAUAUUGGUAUUGCUUUAGCCUCAAGUUUUGGGUCCUUAACAUGUGUUUGGAGGACAAACUUUAGGCUUGGUCCUUUCCUUCGGUGGAUCAAGCAUUCUUAGUAUUAAUGAUUUAUGAAGUCCCAUGGUGGGUAUGAUGGUGCAAUAAAAUGUAGUACUAAUGGAAGUACUGCAGAAGGACCUGGCUUUUGUGUCAGUGUUACAGAGAUAUAAAUUUGUGUUUAUCUGAGCCAUUAUACAGAAGAAGAUAUCCAGAAGAUCUUGAUGAUGCGAUUUAAUAUUUAACAUGUUUGAAUUUUCUUUUGUAUUUCUUGCUUUUCUUGUUCACCAGUUUGUAUGUGAUGCAUAAUAUGUGCCGCUUGCAAGCAAAAUUUGUUUGAGAUAUGUGACAAACAAGAAAUUAGAAAGGCCUAUUUCGGGUUCACUCAGAACUUUGGCAACCACCAUUGGAGGUGUGAUGUAAAGUGCCUGAUUUGGGAUGUUCUGGUCAUUUAUUUAGUCUGUGUUGCAUAUUGUUAUCUUGUCUGAUGAUAUGAGACAUCUGUUACAUGUAUAUCAUUAUAUUGGCAUUAUAUACAUGAUUUUGCUUACAAAGUGACUCACAGAAACCCGACCCACCCAAAUAUUUGUGUGGCAUGUCUAAUUGCUCAUCAUGCGUGCAAUUAUCUUUUUGUAGGCUUUCUCUUCAAUAUCAUCCUGACAAGAAUAAAAAUAAGGGUGCUCAAGAGAAGUUUGCUGAGAUUAAUAAUGGUAAGUGUCUGUCACUUGCUAACUCAUUUUCUUGCUGAAGCACUAGUAAUACUCAUGUGUGCUGGGUUUCUGUUUAAAUAAAGUUUUAGUUGAUCUUAGUGUUUGGUUGAUUAGUUACAGGUCUGAACUAAAAUGCUAUCUGAGGAACAUCUUCUGGGCAUGAGAAGAUCAUAUUGUCACUUCAUAAAUCAAUUAGAUCAACAAAAACUGGAUUUUUAGUUUUUUCUGUUCUGCAUGGUUACUAAUGAUUUUCCUGUUCUAAUAUAAUUUUCACUAAUAUUUUUUUAAAACCAGCAUAUGAGAUUCUAUCAGAUGAAGAGAAAAGGAAAAAUUAUGAUCUAUAUGGAGAUGAAAAGGGCAAUCCUGGAUUUGAUGCUGGCUAUCCUGGGGACCAGGGUGGAUAUACUUAUUUUAAAGGCGGUAGACACAGGCAAAAUCGGUUUACAUUCAGGCCAGAUGAAUGGCAAAACAUGGAGGGGCAGGGAGGUUCCCAAUCAUUCUCAUUUUCCUUUGGUGGUCCUAGUGCUCAGAGUUCUUUUGGUUUUGGCCUGAAUGAUAUUUUCUCCAAUAUUUUUGGUGGUGAUGGUGGUGGCAAUCAGUUUGGUGGUUUCAGUGGUUUUUCCAGGUCUCAAUCCAGUUUUCACUCUGGCUCUAGAAGCUCCCCUAAGGGUUUCAAGCCUAUAAAUUCUAAAAUUUUCAGGAAAGAAAUUGCUGACCAAGGCAUGACUUGGCUUUUGUUAUCCUAUACUCCCCCUUUGAGGGGGAGCCGUUAUGAAUCAAUCAUACUGGAGGUUGCUGUUUCAUUGCAAGGAGCUCUAAAGGUAGGAAGCAUUAAUUGUGAAACUGAAAAGUCCUUUUGUACUGAGCUUGGCAUACAUCCCCACCAAGAACCUAGGGUAUUUGUCUACUCAUACAAAGCAAAUGAUAAGGGUUCUUUGGUGGAAUACAAUGGUGAUUUGCUUGCUAGGAAUUUGAAGACUUUUUGCCAAGAACAGUUGCCAAGGUUUUCAAGGCGGAUUGAUCUGAAACACCUUGAGACUUCCUCUGGUAGCAGGGAAAAACUCCCCAGAGUUUUGCUUCUCUCCACCAAAAAAGAUACACCUGUGAUCUGGCGUGUCCUUAGUGGCUUAUAUCAUAAUCGCUUCAUUUUCAAUGAUGCAGAGGUUCAUGGUGUUAGUGAUCCAAUGGUAAAGAAGUUGGGAGUUGAUGCACUUCCAGCUAUAGUUGGUUGGUUAUCAAAUGCGGAAAAGCAUGUCUUAAAAGCAGGGAUUUCUGUGAAAGAUUUGCAAUCUGCAAUUCAAGAUCUUAGUACCUUGCUUGAUGGGUUUGAUAAAAAGAAUAAGAAGAAAGCAUCAAGUCAGGCCAGAAAGCAGAAUGAUCCUGUUGAGGAACACUUACCUUUGCUGACGAGUUUGAAUUUUGAUGCUCUAUGUGGGGAAAAGAACCCUGUUUGCAUCAUAGGUGCUUUCAGAACUUCAAAAGCAAGGGAGAAACUGGAAUCCAUUUUAGCUACGGUAAGUAGAAAUUUUCUAGUAUUGAUAUAUGAUUCACUUAGUUGAAGAAAAAGCGGGUUUUAUAGCUUGUUGUUUCACCUCUUUUAUUUUAUUCUCACUUUUUCAUCAUUUCAUAAUGAUAAACAUAUCACCCUUGUAUUUAUGUUGAGUUAAAAAAGGUUAGAAACUAAUUUCAAUAUAUAUUAACUCAUAGGUACUUUGAAACAAAUAUAAGUAUAUUGUCCAAUCUGGUGCUCUUUCUCAGCAUCUCCUCCGCUGAAAAUAAAUGAAAUUGAGUGGAUAGUUUGCUACACUUAAUGUUUGAUCUUUGAACCAUCGAGUCUCGACAGCACAUUUCUGUCUCUAGCUGACUUAAAAAUAUUAACAGUGCUAAUCAAAUAUCUGCAAGAUGAAUACUUAAUAUUUCACUGUGCUUUUAUUUAUUUUUCGUGGGAAGUUGAGAUGCCAAAUUGCAGACAUUAAUUAAAUUUUUGUGAGAAGAAUGUGGAAAAAUAAAAUGAUGUACGACUGAUUUUCUUGUUUGCUGCAUGGUUUGUAUUCUUAGGUCUCUCAAAAAUCAUUUUCAAGGCAACGAGCAGCAGCAUCUGGAUGUAGGGAUUCUAUUACCUAUGCUCUCUUAGAUGCAAACAGGCAGCCAGCAUUCUUAAAUGCAUUUGAAAAAUCUGGAUUCAAGUGGUCAGAUAAGGUAUUGUUGGCCUACAAACCUCGAAAGAGGAAAUAUGUCACCCUGGAGAGUGAAAUGACUGCAGAAGAAGUGGAGAGAUUUAUUAGCUCUGUUCUUAAUGGAGAUAUACAAUUUACCAAAACGAGACAGAAGCCAGUGAUCAAAUGAGACGGGUAAUGUUAACAAAUUAGAAUCAGAUUUCUGAUCUGAUGUACAGGUAUAGGUUACGGCUUUGCUGUUGAAGUUAGAAGUCCGUGAUCAACAGAGUGAAAAUCAUGAUCACUGGAGUGUAUACGUAUAGGUUACUUCGGCUUUGCCAGGAAGUUGCUGCAUGUUCGAGAG